GAUGAAGAACGUAUCGAAAUGCGAUAAGUAAUGUGAAUUGCAGAAUUCAGUGAAUCAUCGAAUCUUUGAACGCACAUUGCGCCCGCCAGUAUUCUGGCGGGCAUGCCUGUUCGAGCGUCAUUUCAACCCUCAAGACCCCUUCGGGGGACUUGGUGUUGGGGACCGGCACAGGGGCCUGCCUGCUUGUCUUGCAGCGCCCUCGCCGCCCCCGAAAUGAAUUGGCGGCCUCGUCGCGGCCUCCCCUGCGUAGUAGCACAAACCUCGCAACGGGAACGUGACGGCGGCCACUGCCGUAAAACAACCCAAUUUUAUUAGAGUUGACCUCGAAUCAGGUAGGAAUACCCGCUGAACUUAAGCAUAUCAAUAAGCGGAGGA
rnacentral:misc_RNA from 1 species